GUGGGGCCAAGUGGACUCUGGCCCCUCUGGAGAGUGAAACCCUGCCUGCCACCCCUGAGGUGCCCAAACUUAGAUAAAUGCUCUCACAUGGUAUUUGUCUUUCUCUGUCGGACUCACUUCGCUCAGUAUGACCAUCUCUGGACCUAAAAUCCUUCCUCAUUUGAUUCCACCUUGGUGUCUGCAUCUCAGGGCACAGAUUAACACCCCCAGGCCAAGAAGAGGGUACACGACUUGCGACACCACAGAAAACUUGUGACACCACGUGAAGAAGCAGAUACAAGACUCCAGAUGUCUUCUCUGAAGCCAGACUUUAAAGUGAUUUUCAAAAAUCGUAAAAUAAUGC